CGGCCGCGUCGACGGGACGGCUAACUACGUGCCAGCAGCCGCGGUAAUACGUAGGUCCCGAGCGUUGUCCGGAUUUAUUGGGCGUAAAGCGAGCGCAGGUGGUUUAUUAAGUCUGGUGUAAAAGGCAGUGGCUCAACCAUUGUAUGCAUUGGAAACUGGUAGACUUGAGUGCAGGAGAGGAGAGUGGAAUUCCAUGUGUAGCGGUGAAAUGCGUAGAUAUAUGGAGGAACACCGGUGGCGAAAGCGGCUCUCUGGCCUGUAACUGACACUGAGGCUCGAAAGCGUGGGGAGCAAACAGGAUUAGAUACCCUGGUAGUCCACGCCGUAAACGAUGAGUGCUAGAUGUAGGGAGCUAUAAGUUCUCUGUAUCGCAGCUAACGCAAUAAGCACUCCGGCCUGGGGAGUACGACCGCAAGGUUGAAACUCAAAGGAUUGACGGGGCCCGCACAAGCGGUGGAGCAUGUGGUUAAUCGAAGCAACGCGAAGACCUUACCAGGUCUUGACAUACUCGUG
rnacentral:rRNA from 1 species